rnacentral:rRNA from 1 species
UACGUAGGGUGCAAGCGUUAAUCGGAAUUACUGGGCGUAAAGCGUGCGCAGGCGGUUCGCUAAGACCGAUGUGAAAUCCCCGGGCUUAACCUGGGAACUGCAUUGGUGACUGGCGGGCUAGAGUAUGGCAGAGGGGGGUAGAAUUCCACGUGUAGCAGUGAAAUGCGUAGAGAUGUGGAGGAAUACCGAUGGCGAAGGCAGCCCCCUGGGCCAAUACUGACGCUCAUGCACGAAAGCGUGGGGGAGCAAACAGG